rnacentral:rRNA from 1 species
AUUGAACGCUGGCGGCAGGCCUAACACAUGCAAGUCGAGCGAGCGGCGGACGGGUGAGUAAUGUUUGGGAAUCUCGCUUAUGGAGGGGGAUACCUACGGGAAACUGUAGCUAAUACCGCGUACCAUAGGAUGAGCCCAAGUGGGAUUAGGUAGUUGGUGAGGUAAAGGCUCACCAAGCCGACGAUCUCUAGCUGGUCUGAGAGGAGGACCAUCCACCCGGGGACUGAGACACGGCCCAGACUCCUACGGAGGGCAGCAGUGGGGAAUAUUGCGCAAUGGGGGCAACCCUGACGCAGACAGGCCGCGUGUAUGAAGAAGGCCUUAGGGUUGUAAAGUACUUUCAGCGGGGAGGCGUUACCCGCAGAAGAAGCACCGGCUAACUCCGUGCCAGCAGCCGCGGUAAUUC